AUUGAACGCUGGCGGCAGGCCUAACACAUGCAAGUCGAGCGGAGAGGCGGACGGGUGAGUAAUGCCUAGGAAUCUGCCUGGUAGUGGGGGAUAACGUCCGGAAGCGGGCGCUAAUACCGCAUACUAUCAGAUGAGCCUAGGUCUGAUUAGCUAGGUGGUGGGGUAAGGGCCUACCAAGGCGACGAUACGGAACUGGUCUGCGAGUAUGAUCAGUCACAAUGGAACUGGGACAAGGUCCAGACGCCUACGGGAGGCAGCAGUGGGGAAUAUUGGACAAUGGGCGAAAGCCUGAUACAGCCAGGCCGCGUGGGUGAAGAAGGUCUUCUGAUUGGAAAGCACUUUAAGUUGUGAGGCGUUACCAACAGAAGAAGCACCGGCUAACUUCGUGCCAGCAGCCGCGGUAAUU
rnacentral:rRNA from 1 species